rnacentral:sRNA from 1 species
AUCCUUUAGUGAUUCUUUUUCUCCCUGAAGCAUGAUUGAUUUCCUUUAGAAAAAAUACACAAAACUAUAAAAAGAUAACAGACAGCACACAUGCAAAAGUAAGACAACACAGGCAUCUAAAAUUAAAUCAGGUGUCACAACAUUGCGAAAUUUAACCAGGCGGAAGAGCACUAGCGUCAACAACUUCGCUUGCAUCCUUUUCAAUAUCUGCAUCUGGUCCAGAGAGCGGAGACCGUGGUAGGGCCAUCAGGCCUGUUCGGGUAGAUUCGAGGAUGCCAAAUGGAGAAAUUAGUUUAAGGAAGGAGUCAAUUCGAUUUGGCUUUGCGGACAGUUCAACAAUGCAGUUGUUAGUGCUGAUAUCCAAAACCUUCCCACCGAAUUGUUGAGUCAGGUGGGUAAUAGCCUUCAAAUGUUCGUGUUUGUGACGAAGUGCCUGGCUAUGAGCUAGUCCGCUGGGGUGGUAGUUACUGGCAUGCUGGCUGCCUUUGAACGUUCCCGCCCCGCUCUGGGUCGAAUUUGUCUGUUGUUCCGCUGAGCUAGAUACUUCCUCGUUUUCGGGCGUUGUAAUUUCACGAUGGUGCUGGAGAAGCUCUUCGAACACCUCAGGCCCCAGAAUACUAACUUUCGCAAGAAGGAGCUCGCGUUGUACCAGGGCAGAAUCGGUAUAAUCAAGAACUGCCCAGACUGGGACAAGGUCAUCCAGCUGGCGGCGGGCCUGCUCGACCACACCAUCCAAUCCGCGAAGGACAAUCGUCAUCCGUGAUAAGUCUUCUACUUCCGUAUUGCAGACAACGAGGCUGUCGAUGUUGAACCCCCGAGCCGCAAGAAUUCCGGAGAUGCGGGAGAGAACGCCUGGUUCAUUUUGUACCAGGCAAUUCAGCACAUGACGUUUUGGAGGUUUGGUCGAGGGUACUGGCGUCUCAUAGAGAAUUGAUGAGACUGCAGCAGGAGCAGACCAGGUCGGGCUAUCGGCUACUGGGAGAGGGAGCGGAGACCGACGAUGCAGAGCUUUGUAGGCGAGUGCGGAUGUCGAGCUUGAGGAGGGGCGGGCAUUGAAGCAUGGUUUCAAUGAAGGGGCUAGGCUGCCUCCAGCACCACAUGUCGACAGUGACGACAAUAGAGUACGGCUCGAAGGUUGGGAGAAAACCCGUCGAAAAGCCAUUUUCUUACCACACACGACGGCAAGAGCAAUUGCCCUCUGUCCGUGUAGGCACAAGGAGCUAUUUGUGACUCC